GUAGACACUUAUAUUUGCUCUAGAGUAACAUCGAAUUGUAUUGUUGAGAAAGAUUCAAUACAUUACAUUUCUGUUUUUCCAUCUCUAUUUUUCGACAAUAUGAAUAAUAACGCUAACAAAUUUAUCUUAUAUUUGACGAUUAUUUCUUCAUUAAUAUCAAUGGUAUUGAUAAAAGAAUGCAUGACAAUGGGAAACCAUGGAAAACCAUGUCCAGAAGAAGAGAAACACUUUUGCUUAAACGGCGGCAAAUGUUACAAAAUUGUGGAAUACGAGAGAAAAUACUGUGUUUGUCCAACGGAAUUUACGGGAGAAAGAUGUCAGGAAUAUAAUAUAUAUAUGAUAACAUAACGCAUAACACAUUCAUAUUGGAAUAAAAUCAAGCAAAAUAUGACGACUGGCAAUGCAAUGCUUAUACUGGCAAAGACAAAGACAAAAAGCAACGAUUAUAAAGAAAUAUUACAGAAAUAUAUAUUCUAAUAAAAUAACAUAGAGAAAAUAUUAUAAAAAUAUCCAAUUAGCAUAUGUAUUGUAUUAUCGUGUGUUAUGUGUUUUACUAUAGAUUUAUUAUUUAG